UACAGAGACUGCAAGCGUUAUUCGGAUUCACUGGGCGUAAAGGGUGCGCAGGCGGCCAAGUGUGUUAGGCGUGAAAGCCCGGGGCUUAACCCCGGAAUUGCACCUAAAACUACAUGGCUAGAGCAUUGGAGAGGGUAGCGGAAUUCACGGUGUAGCAGUGAAAUGCGUAGAUAUCGGGAGGAACAUCAGUGGCGAAGGCGGCUACCUGGCCCAAUACUGACACUCAGGUGCGACAGCGUGGGGAGCAAACAGG
rnacentral:rRNA from 1 species